AUUGAACGCUGGCGGUAGGCCUAACACAUGCAAGUCGAGCGGAUGAAGGGAGCUUGCUCCUGGAUUCAGCGGCGGACGGGUGAGUAAUGCCUAGGAAUCUGCCUGGUAGUGGGGGAUAACGUCCGGAAACGGGCGCUAAUACCGCAUACGUCCUGAGGGAGAAAGUGGGGGAUCUUCGGACCUCACGCUAUCAGAUGAGCCUAGGUCGGAUUAGCUAGUCGGUGGGGUAAAGGCCUACCAAGGCGACGAUCCGUAACUGGUCUGAGAGGAUGAUCAGUCACACUGGAACUGAGACACGGUCCAGACUCCUACGGGAGGCAGCAGUGGGGAAUAUUGGACAAUGGGCGAAAGCCUGAUCCAGCCAUGCCGCGUGUGUGAAGAAGGUCUUCGGAUUGUAAAGCACUUUAAGUUGGGAGGAAGGGCAGUAAGUUAAUACCUUGCUGUUUUGACGUUACCAACAGAAUAAGCACCGGCUAACUUCGUG
rnacentral:rRNA from 1 species